UGCAAGUCGAACGAUGAACCACCUUCGGGUGGGGAUUAGUGGCGAACGGGUGAGUAACACGUGGGCAAUCUGCCCUGCACUCUGGGACAAGCCCUGGAAACGGGGUCUAAUACCGGAUACUGAUCCUCGCAGGCAUCUGCGAGGUUCGAAAGCUCCGGCGGUGCAGGAUGAGCCCGCGGCCUAUCAGCUAGUUGGUGAGGUAAUGGCUCACCAAGGCGACGACGGGUAGCCGGCCUGAGAGGGCGACCGGCCACACUGGGACUGAGACACGGCCCAGACUCCUACGGGAGGCAGCAGUGGGGAAUAUUGCACAAUGGGCGAAAGCCUGAUGCAGCGACGCCGCGUGAGGGAUGACGGCCUUCGGGUUGUAAACCUCUUUCAGCAGGGAAGAAGCGAAAGUGACGGUACCUGCAGAAGAAGCGCCGGCUAACUACGUGCCAGCAGCCGCGGUAAUACGUAGGGCGCAAGCGUUGUCCGGAAUUAUUGGGCGUAAAGAGCUCGUAGGCGGCUUGUCACGUCGGUUGUGAAAGCCCGGGGCUUAACCCCGGGUCUGCAGUCGAUACGGGCAGGCUAGAGUUCGGUAGGGGAGAUCGGAAUUCCUGGUGUAGCGGUGAAAUGCGCAGAUAUCAGGAGGAACACCGGUGGCGAAGGCGGAUCUCUGGGCCGAUACUGACGCUGAGGAGCGAAAGCGUGGGGAGCGAACAGGAUUAGAUACCCUGGUAGUCCACGCCGUAAACGGUGGGCACUAGGUGUGGGCAACAUUCCACGUUGUCCGUGCCGCAGCUAACGCAUUAAGUGCCCCGCCUGGGGAGUACGGCCGCAAGGCUAAAACUCAAAGGAAUUGACGGGGGCCCGCACAAGCGGCGGAGCAUGUGGCUUAAUUCGACGCAACGCGAAGAACCUUACCAAGGCUUGACAUACACCGGGAAAACCCUGGAGACAGGGUCCCCCUUGUGGUCGGUGUACAGGUGGUGCAUGGCUGUCGUCAGCUCGUGUCCAAAAGG
rnacentral:rRNA from 1 species